rnacentral:tRNA from 1 species
CCUUCGAUAGCUCAGUUGGUAGAGCGGUGGACUGUAGAAGAAUCUGAAAGUAGAAAUCCAUAGGUCGCUGGUUCAAAUCCGGCUCGAAGGA